GGGUCGGAGGUGUAACUGGCUGCAUACGGGAUUCCAAAUCCUUGAGGUAGGGGGUUCGAGUCCUCCCCCGGCCCGCCA
rnacentral:tRNA from 1 species